UACGAAGGAUUCGAGCGUUAUCCGGAUUUAUUGGGCUUAAAGGGUGCGUAGGUGGACUAAUAAGUCUGUGGUGAAAGCCCGCAGCUUAACUGCGGAACUGCCAUUGAUACUGUUAGUCUUGAGUACAGUUGAGGUGGGCGGAAUGUGUCAUGUAGCGGUGAAAUGCUUAGAUAUGACACAGAACACCGAUGGCGAAGGCAGCUCACUAAGCUGUAACUGACACUGAGGCACGAAAGCGUGGGGAGCAAACAGG
rnacentral:rRNA from 1 species